CAAAAAGUUUGUUUGGGUUUUUCCAUCGCAUCUUACAGGCUAACCUGGAUGAACUUUUUGG
ensembl:miRNA bta-mir-2285bs bta-mir-2285bs